UCUUGCAUUCCUGUGCCGUUUGCUUCCCUAGUUCUUACUCGGGGUAUUACUUAUAAGCUAAGUCUUCCCUCCUAUAUUAAGAUAUUACUCUUUUUAUGAAAAGGUUAGUCCACAAGUAGGUGUAUAAAUGACAGAUUUUCCAAGACACUUUGAGAUGAGURGCAUUUAACAUAUCUAGCAGCACGUUUGGCUGGCUUAACAGGAAGACAUGUUUGGCAAUUCCAGUUCAUCAUCUGUGGCAUCAAGAAUAUCAGUGGGUAGCAUAUCUGCAUCAAUGGCCAAGUUUGAUAUUGGGAUGCCCUUAAGAUGUUGCCUCAUUGUUUGACUGUCAACAAACCACUUGAGCACUCGUGUUUCUUCUGCAACCAAAAAAAUGAUAUUUCAAACUGGAUCCAUUCAAGUCAUUGCUGUAUUGAAAAACAAGGCCUUUUUACCACACUUCCAUUUUUCUACCUUAAAGCCAGCUAUAGCCAAGCUCAACCCUAGAAAAGCAUCACCACUGGUACAUGAAGCUCCACAAGAAUUGCACCUCACUGAAUUCAAACAGACAAAUUGUUUAAAAAAAAUUAAUCAAGUUCUUGUUUAAAACAAUAAAGCAACAAAUCUCUAACAACCAUAUGGUAAUGAUGCAUUUGGAGCAUGUGUAGUUUGAAGUUGCAUUUAACAGGGAAAAUUAAAACAAAAAACAAAAAAAACUGACAACACCAGUUAAUUAAUUAGCAUCGAAAAAUAUUCUCACAUAUUUUAUAACUUUUUACCUGUGUUUGUCAGAAGUCCUUUAAAAAGUUUGUCUGGGACAUAUGCACUUGACCUAGGUGUAACCAUAUAUAUUCAAUCAUUUUAUAAAUAUUGAUGUAUAGUAAAACACUGACGAAAUCGGUUUGCUGAAGGCGAGAAUCUUUAUUCCUGAUAAAACACUAUCUCAUUAGUGUUUCAAACGGCUUUAAAAAUCCAACACUAAUUUAAAGAAUUAGAAGAAUUAUACAUGGAGAAUAAAUUAAUAAAGUACAUAUUGCAAUACUAUUAUACAUUUCUAUGUUAGCAUAACUUACUGUGAACUAAGGCUGUGCACAUUACUGUCAAUAACAUUGUUUAGUACAGAUGUUAAAAAUUCAUGAGCAUCUUCUUGGGCUCCUUUCAAAAAGUUCCCCAUUGCUUGAAAGAAGGAAAUGAGUUCUUGUCAAAACACCCAGCUCUGAAUGCUUUAUUUAAUAGAUUUUUAGCUGUGUACGGUACAAAUGUUUUACAGAAUCUACAUUUUUAGUGAUGCAAAUUUAACAAAUAAAGGUAAAAAUAAUACACGCAUCCAAUCAAAGACCAUGAAAGAGGUAAAGCCAAGAUAAUUCAUAUUUUUACAUUUGCAGCAAAUAGAUUUGCUAGAUUUCAACAUGACCAUCUGAUGUA